CAGUAGCCGCGGGAAUACGAAGGGGGCUAGCGUUGUUCGGAUUUACUGGGCGUAAAGCGCACGUAGGCGGACUUUUAAGUCAGGGGUGAAAUCCCGGGGCUCAACCCCGGAAUUGCCUUUGAUACUGGGAGUCUUGAGUUCGAGAGAGGUGAGUGGAAUUGCGGGUGUAGAGGUGAAAUUCGUAGAUAUUCGCAGGAACACCAGUGGCGAAGGCGGCUCACUGGCUCGAUACUGACACUGAGGUGCGAAAGCGUGGGGAGCAAACAGGAUUAGAUACCCCAGUAGUCCCUGUCUCUUAUAA
rnacentral:rRNA from 1 species